rnacentral:rRNA from 1 species
UACGAAGGGGGCUAGCGUUGUUCGGAUUUACUGGGCGUAAAGCGCACGUAGGCGGAUCGUUAAGUCGGGGGUGAAAUCCUGGAGCUCAACUCCAGAACUGCCUUCGAUACUGGCGAUCUUGAGUCCGGAAGAGGUGAGUGGAACUCCUAGUGUAGAGGUGGAAUUCGUAGAUAUUAGGAAGAACACCAGUGGCAAAGGCGGCUCACUGGUCCGGUACUGACGCUGAGGUGCGAAAGCGUGGGGAGCAAACAGG